rnacentral:lncRNA from 1 species
CCGUUAGGGACCCAGGGGCACCACGCCCCGGGGCNNNNNNNNNNUGUGAUGCUCUGAUUUCUCUCGGGCGUCCAGUUCAGAUGAGGAUGAUGAUAAUGAAGAAAAAACCCCACCACCAUCACCACCACUACCUUUGACACAUUCCAUUGCAACUGCUCUCUUGGCUUCAGUUUUAUGGAGUGAUGGAUGAACCCCAAGACUUUGGCUUGUACCACAAAUGUAUCAUGGCAGUUGCUUCUUCCAGGGAGUUUCUUCUUGGGAUCUGAAGCAUGGAAAAGCAUUCCUUGCCAAAAGCAAUAGAGUGGAAAUUUGUGAGCCAUCCGAUCUCAUCUCAAUACUAUUGUCUGUUGGCUGGCUGGGCAGCACUGGCCAAGGUGCCUCAUCAGCCUGUGCCUUCCCUUGCCCAUCUGUGAAGCAGAGAGAAUAA